UUGGAUGCACUUUGGGUACCCCUAUCACUAAUCUUGUGUUUCCCACCUUUAUCACAACCAAAUAUUAUUUUGUUACUUCUCCCUCUCUUCCCCGUUUCAGUAUCUGAACGAUAAUCUUGUGUUUCCCACCUUUAUCACAACCAAAUAUUAUUUUGUUACUUCUCCCUCUCUUCCCCGUUUCAGUAUCUGAACGACUGAUAAUAACAGUUACUUUAUUAUCGAUUCUAACCUCUUUAAUCCAUCUGA
rnacentral:lncRNA from 1 species